rnacentral:rRNA from 1 species
GUGGGGAAUAUUGGACAAUGGGCGAAAGCCUGAUCCAGCCAUGCCGCGUGUGUGAAGAAGGUCUUCGGAUUGUAAAGCACUUUAAGUUGGGAGGAAGGGCAGUAAGUUAAUACCUUGCUGUUUUGACGUUACCAACAGAAUAAGCACCGGCUAACUUCGUGCCAGCAGCCGCGGUAAUACGAAGGGUGCAAGCGUUAAUCGGAAUUACUGGGCGUAAAGCGCGCGUAGGUGGUUCAGCAAGUUGAAGGUGAAAUCCCCGGGCUCAACCUGGGAACUGCCUCCAAAACUGCAUGACUAGAGUACGGUAGAGGGUAGUGGAAUUUCCUGUGUAGCGGUGAAAUGCGUAGAUAUAGGAAGGAACACCAGUGGCGAAGGCGACUACCUGGACUGAUACUGACACUGAGGUGCGAAAGCGUGGGGAGCAAACAGGAUUAGAUACCCCUGUAGUCC